UGGGGAAUAUUGGACAAUGGGCGAAAGCCUGAUCCAGCGACGCCGCGUGGGUGAAGAAGGCCUGCGGGUUGUAAAGCCCUUUCGGUAGGGAAGAAAAGUCUCGACCUAACACGUCGGGACCUUGACGUAACCUACUAAAGAAGCACCGGCUAACUCUGUGCCAGCAGCCGCGGUAAUACAGAGGGUGCGAGCGUUAAUCGGAAUUACUGGGCGUAAAGCGCGCGUAGGCGGCUUUGCAAGUCGGGUGUGAAAUCCCCAGGCUUAACCUGGGAACUGCAUUCGAGACUGCAUCGCUAGAGUAUGGGAGAGGGAAGUGGAAUUUCAGGUGUAGCGGUGAAAUGCGUAGAUAUCUGAAGGAACAUCAGUGGCGAAAGCGACUUCCUGGACCAAUACUGACGCUCAUGUGCGAAAGCGUGGGGAGCAAACAGG
rnacentral:rRNA from 1 species